rnacentral:rRNA from 1 species
UCUGGUGGCGAUGCGCCUGCGGGACACACCCGUUCCCAUCCCGAACACGAUGGUUAAGACGCAGACGGCCGAAAAUACUACGCUGGCGACGGCGUGGGAAGAUAGGUGGCUGCCAGAU